GACGUAGGGCGCGAGCGUUGUCCGGAUUUAUUGGGCGUAAAGAGCUCGUAGGCGGCUCGUUGCGUCGGCUGUGAAAACCCGCAGCUCAACUGUGGGCUUGCAGCUGAUACGGGCGGGCUGGAGUUCGGUAGGGGAGACUGGAAUUCCUGGUGUAGCGGUGAAAUGCGCAGAUAUCAGGAGGAACACCGGUGGCGAAGGCGGGUCUCUGGGCCGACACUGACGCUCAUGCACGAAAGCGUGGGGAGCAAACAGG
rnacentral:rRNA from 1 species